UCCCACAUGGCGCAGUGGUUAAGCGCCUGGCGGUGCAUUUUUCGCGAUGGAAAUGCAAGUGGGUUCGAGUCCCGCUGUGGUAA